UGGUGGGUAGUUUGACUGGGGCGGUCUCCUCCUAAAGAGUAACGGAGGAGCACGAAGGUUGGCUAAUCCUGGUCGGACAUCAGGAGGUUAGUGCAAUGGCAUAAGCCAGCUUGACUGCGAGCGUGACGGCGCGAGCAGGUGCGAAAGCAGGUCAUAGUGAUCCGGUGGUUCUGAAUGGAAGGGCCAUCGCUCAACGGAUAAAAGGUACUCCGGGGAUAACAGGCUGAUACCGCCCAAGAGUUCAUAUCGACGGCGGUGUUUGGCACCUCGAUGUCGGCUCAUCACAUCCUGGGGCUGAAGUAGGUCCCAAGGGUAUGGCUGUUCGCCAUUUAAAGUGGUACGCGAGCUGGGUUUAGAACGUCGUGAGACAGUUCGGUCCCUAUCUGCCGUGGGCGCUGGAGAACUGAGGGGGGCUGCUCCUAGUACGAGAGGACCGGAGUGGACGCAUCACUGGUGUUCGGGUUGUCAUGCCAAUGGCACUGCCCGGUAGCUAAAUGCGGAAGAGAUAAGUGCUGAAAGCAUCUAAGCACGAAACUUGCCCCGAGAUGAGUUCUCCCUGACUCCCUGAGAGUCCUGAAGGAACGUUGAAGACGACGACGUUGAUAGGCC
rnacentral:rRNA from 1 species